UAGAGUUAUACGUAAAUAAUUUUUUUGUAGCAGCGUAAAAGCAAAAUAAAUUCAUACAUACUGUAAUACAGUAAGCUAGAGUAUUUAAUUUAAUUUACAAUAACCAGUGGGCCCCCCGAAUAACCAAAAGUAAGGAAGACUGUGAACCUAUAGUUUGGAGGAUGCAAAUCCAAUGGUAGCCUCAAUGAAAUCAGCUAUCUACAGCCUAUUCUGAGCCUAAAAUGGGUGGAAAGGAGGGUGGUGAGAUUAUAUAAUCCCAGUGAGUAAACAAAUACCAUCUAAAAUAUCUAAAGCCGAGUAAAUAGAGACAAAUAAAAUAGUUUAACAUACUGUAAUUCAUCACCUUUCAACUUGUUUCAACCAAAUAAAAUCAAUUCAUAUAAAUCAAGUAAUCAACAUGGCUUAUGAGUAUCUUAAAACUUUGGCUCGCGCCAAAAUCAUUCUCAUACCCAGUUAUUAGGGAUAGCUUGAUCGAGGGCUAUCCCAACCGAGUUUGCCAAGGCUGUUAAAAAGUUAUGUAUGCAUAAAUCAUGUUUUUAUUUUGAAAACAUAGCCGUUCCUUGGCGUUGGCUGAGUUCACCCUCAUGUGGUUGGUUUGCGUGAAGUGAAACUCUAAAGUUAUACCUCGGGAGUUACCCUACUCGCCUCUCCAAUCGAGGUAAACUAUAACGGGAUUCUGUGCCCCUCUAAUAGGCUGGUCCACAGAAAACCCGUCCACUGUAGCAAGUUAAACCCACCAUACAAUAAAAUUUGCAAUAGCAUGACAUGGCAAUUAUUUUAUUUUAUUUUACAGCCUUUCAAGACAAAUCAACAAUUUUUACAUUUCCAACACAUUUAUCAAAUCAACCAUACAUGCCAAUAUUGCCAUAAGCCAAUCAAUUAGAAUCAUGAAUUUACAACACACAAAAACAAUAUUCAAUUACUCUAUUUUCAAACCAUCAUUCAAUUUUAAAACAAUUUUAUGAAAUCAUUUCAUUAAAUCACAUUUUGUUUAUAAAAUCAAAAAAUUAAUCAUUUAAUUCAUUUUCCAUAAAAUUCACAAAAUCGAAUAAAACAUACUUUAGAUAAUUAAGAUGAUGAUAAGGUUACUCACUAUUUCAGGAGUCGAAUUCCAAGUACUCCGAUUCUUGAUCCUCGGGUACUAUCUCUUUACUUUUGGCAGAAUGCUCACCACCUAGACAUAAAGCACAAUAAGCCAUUUACUACAUUGUGCUAAAUUGUUAUAAAACCAAUUCAGACUUUAUACUAAUAUAUGAAAUGGGAUGCAAAUUGCUCGGAUUAUUGUCUAAACACGGUGCUCUACACAAAUUCAUUUGUGUACCUAAAUUAAACAGGUAUUGGCCUUAUUCGAUUUAUCGCUCGAUUAAUUGGCCAAUACGUCCAAUUCAACUCCAAAUAAUUUCAUGUUUCUCCCAAUACUCCAAAUCAUCAAAUACAAAUUAAAUAACUUGAAAUAUGACAAAAUCAUCCUCACAUUUUCUCUUGGAAAAUUCGGCCAUGGUGGGUGCAUCAACACUAUAAUUUUUCCUACUUGAUUCUCACACCAUAAAUCACUAAUUCCUAACCAAAUCACUUGAAAUAAAAUCAAAAUCAUCAUCAAUAUUCUACAUGGAGAAUUCGACCAAUGAUGGGUGAUGGGAGAACAUGAAUUUUUCUUGCUUGAUUUUCAUGCUACACAUCACCAAUCAACUAAAAACACUACAAUACAUUAAAAUCUAACCAAAUCAAGCAUCAAAACCUCUCUCCUAGGGUUUGAUCAGCACACUAUCCUUCAUGAUAUCUUGUGGUUCAAGCAUGAAAAAUGCAAAAUAAUGCAUGGGAAAGGUAGAUCACAAGUCAAAAUCAAGAAAUUUUACCUUUGAUUGCUUGAUUACUUGAAAUCCACCAAUUUUCUCUUGAAUUUUCACCCUAGGGUUCUUGUUCUUCCUUUUUCUUCCUUUGUUCUUGCUUUGGCCGGCCAUAUGAAGAGAAAUAGGCUGAUUUUGUG
rnacentral:lncRNA from 1 species